UGGGCUAUGAAUUGAAUUUCCUCCUAGUCCACCCCUGAGUUCCUGUUUAAGAGGAAGUAAGCCAUAUUAGUUUGGUGUUCACUAAGGUGCCCAUACCGUUCCUAACAUCCAAGUCCAUCUUACCUUUCAUGGCCUGUUGAGAUGUAAUGUCUUUUCACACUUGUCAUGAUUAAACUUCAAAAACCGAGUCUUCGUCUUGAAAGAUGGACGUUUAACAACUGCAUCUAACAAAGAGAAGGACGAUAUCUGCCUGAAGGCCUGCAUGGCUACCAUGUCCUCAAAAGACUCUAAAGCAUCAUUGCGACACCAUAGUGGCAAAGGAGGUGGCUCACAAAGCAGUUUUGAGUGUGUGUCAAUCACCUAUAACUUGGCCAAGUACCUUGCACCAGUUAGCUGGUGACUUCUGGACUGA
ensembl:lncRNA